rnacentral:misc_RNA from 1 species
GAUGAAGAACGUAGCGAAAUGCGAUAAGUAAUGUGAAUUGCAGAAUUCAGUGAAUCAUCGAAUCUUUGAACGCACAUUGCGCCCUUUGGCAUUCCGAAGGGCACACCUGUGCGAGCGCCGUCGCACAACUGAGGCGCAGCCUUGCGUUGGCGGGCGACUUGUGAGUAGCGAGUCGCCGCCCAAACGAGACGGCGCCGCGCCGCGGCCGACGAAGCACGAAAGCGGAAGUCGACGCGGAGGCGGUUGCCUGUAGGAAGACACAGCUUGGCCUCGGAUCAGGUGGGGAUACCCGCUGAACUUAAGCAUAUCAAUAAGCGGAGGA